GACGAACGCUGGCGGCGUGCUUAACACAUGCAAGUCGAACGGAAAGGCCCUGCUUUUGUGGGGUGCUCGAGUGGCGAACGGGUGAGUAACACGUGAGUAACCUGCCCUUGACUUUGGGAUAACUUCAGGAAACUGGGGCUAAUACCGGAUAGGAUCUCCUGCUGCAUGGUGGGGGUUGGAAAGUUUCGGCGGUUGGGGAUGGACUCGCGGCUGAUCAGCUUGUUGGUGGGGUAGUGGCUUACCAAGGCUUUGACGGGUAGCCGGCCUGAGAGGGUGACCGGCCACAUUGGGACUGAGAUACGGCCCAGACUCCUACGGGAGGCAGCAGUGGGGAAUAUUGCACAAUGGGCGGAAGCCUGAUGCAGCAACGCCGCGUGCGGGAUGACGGCCUUCGGGUUGUAAACCGCUUUCGCCUGUGACGAAGCGUGAGUGACGGUAAUGGGUAAAGAAGCACCGGCUAACUACGUG
rnacentral:rRNA from 1 species